CCCAAUGUGGCAGUGUCUGCUAUCUUAUGCACAGUGAGGGCCAGUGAGUCAGGGAGGAAGCACACUAGAAAAUGAUCUUCGAUGACUAACACAGAGGCGGCUGUUCUCAUGUUGCCCUGAUGGAAAAAUUGGUGGGAUCACAGGAAUUAAUAAGAACUAUCAGCCCCUGCUGGGAUGCUCUGUCUUAAAAUGGGGACUUGUAUGUAUUUAAAUGGGAGGCGCUGGAUGGCACAAGGAGUCUGUCCUGGGAAGAUGAGAGGACUAAGUGGUACUUUGUCAUUAACCAACCCACAGGAUCACUCUGCACUAUCCGCUUUGUUCCUAUUAACUGAGAAGACUUCCUGUGGCUUCAAAACCAGGAAACGGGGCUGAUGGGAGAGAGAGAAGAGUCUGCUCCAGCCGCGACUCCAGAUUGCCUGGGCUGUAAUUUGCAGUGCUGUCACAAAGGGGUCCUUUUUCUGCAUGGUGCGCUGUGGUGAUGAACAAGGAACCCAACUUGAGGGGUGUGUGCCUCUCCCCGCGCCCUCUCUGGAGCGAGCGGAAUGGACGUCGGAAUAGCUGAGUCUAGCUUCAGACUGAUUACAGGCCAGAUCGCGCUAUUGUGCCUCAUCAGUGUCAUUGUCGAGGCUGCAGUUGCACUGGGAUGUUUCUCUUUGUCGCCCGCUCCA